rnacentral:rRNA from 1 species
UACGUAGGUGGCAAGCGUUGUCCGGAUUUAUUGGGUUUAAAGGGUGCGUAGGCGGCCUAUUAAGUCAGUUCUGAAAUAUCCCGGCUUAACCGGGAGGGUGGGAUUGAUACUGAUGGGCUUGAGUGGAUUCGAGGUAGGCGGAAUUGACGGUGUAGCGGUGAAAUGCUUAGAUAUCGUCAAGAACACCGAUAGUGUAGACAGCUUACUAGACUUCAACUGACGCUGAGGCACGAAAGUGUGGGGAUCAAACAGGAUUAGAUACCCCUGUAGUCC